rnacentral:rRNA from 1 species
AGAGUUUGAUCCUGGCUCAGGAUGAACGCUGGCGGCGUGCUUAACACAUGCAAGUCGAACGAUCCUUCGGGAUAGUGGCGGACGGGUGAGUAACGCGUGGGAAUCUGCCCUUAGGAGGGGGAUAACGGCUGGAAACGGCCGCUAAUACCCCAUAUGCCGAGAGGUGAAAUGAAUUUCGCCUGAGGAUGAGCCCGCGUCUGAUUAGCUAGUUGGUGGGGUAAAGGCCUACCAAGGCAACGAUCAGUAGCUGGUCUGAGAGGAUGAUCAGCCACACUGGGACUGAGACACGGCCCAGACUCCUACGGGAGGCAGCAGUGGGGAAUUUUCCGCAAUGGGCGAAAGCCUGACGGAGCAACGCCGCGUGAGGGAUGAAGGCCUCUGGGCUGUAAACCUCUUUUCUCAAGGAAGAAGAACUGACGGUACUUGAGGAAUAAGCCACGGCUAAUUCCGUGCCAGCAGCCGCGGUAAUACGGGAGUGCAAGCGUUAUCCGGAAUUAUUGGGCGUAAAGCGUCCGCAGGCGGCCUUGUAAGUCUGUUGUUAAAGCGUGGAGCUCAACUCCAUUUAAGCAAUGGAAACUACAAGGCUGGAGUGUGGUAGGGGCAGAGGGAAUUCCCGGUGUAGCGGUGAAAUGCGUAGAUAUCGGGAAGAACACCAGUGGCGAAGGCGCUCUGCUGGGCCAUAACUGACGCUCAUGGACGAAAGCCAGGGGAGCGAAAGGGAUUAGAUACCCCUGUAGUCCUGGCCGUAAACGAUGAACACUAGGUGUCGGGGGAAUCGACCCCCUCGGUGUCGUAGCCAACGCGUUAAGUGUUCCGCCUGGGGAGUACGCACGCAAGUGUGAAACUCAAAGGAAUUGACGGGGGCCCGCACAAGCGGUGGAGUAUGUGGUUUAAUUCGAUGCAACGCGAAGAACCUCACCAGGGUUUGACAUCCUGCGAAUCCCUUGGAAACGAGGGAGUGCCUUCGGGAGCGCAGUGACAGGUGGUGCAUGGCUGUCGUCAGCUCGUGUCGUGAGAUGUUGGGUUAAGUCCCGCAACGAGCGCAACCCACGUCUUUAGUUGCCAGCAUUGAGUUGGGCACUCUAGAGAGACCGCCGGUGAUAAACCGGAGGAAGGCGUGGAUGACGUCAAGUCAUCAUGCCCCUUACAUCCUGGGCUACACACGUACUACAAUGCUACGGACAAAGGGCAGCAAGCUCGCGAGAGUUAGCAAAUCCCAUAAACCGUGGCUCAGUUCAGAUCGUAGGCUGCAACUCGCCUACGUGAAGGAGGAAUCGCUAGUAAUCGCAGGUCAGCAUACUGCGGUGAAUACGUUCCCGGGCCUUGUACACACCGCCCGUCACACCAUGGAAGUUGGCCAUGCCCGAAGUCGUUACUCCAACCCUUGUGGAGGAGGACGCCGAAGGUGGGGCUGAUGACUG